GACGAACGCUGGCGGCGUGCUUAACACAUGCAAGUCGAACGGAAAGGCCCUGCUUGCAGGGUACUCGAGUGGCGAACGGGUGAGUAACACGUGGGUGAUCUGCCCUGCACUUCGGGAUAAGCCUGGGAAACUGGGUCUAAUACCGGAUAGGAGACAUUUUUAGUGUGAUGGUUGGAAAGUUUUUUGGGUGUAGGAUGAGCUCGCGGCCUAUCAGCUUGUUGGUGGGGUAAUGGGCUACCAAGGCGGCGACGGGUAGCCGGCCUGUGAGGGUGGACGGCCACAUUGGGACUGAGAUAAGGCCCAGACUCCUACGGGGGGCAGCAGGGGGGAAUAUUGCACAAUGGGCGCAAGCCUGAUGCAGCGACGCCGCGUGGUGGAUGACCGCCUUCGGGUUGUAAACUCCUUUCGCUAGGGACGAAGCUUUUUGUGACGGUACCUAGAUAAGAAGCACCGGCUAACUACGUG
rnacentral:rRNA from 1 species